rnacentral:rRNA from 1 species
GGGUCAGUAGGUUGGUCGUGCCACCGGUACGUACUGGUCUCACUGACUCCUCCUUCCUGAAGAACCGUAAUGCCAUUAAUUUGGUGUUGCGGGGAAACAGGACUGUUACUUUGAAAAAAUUAGAGUGUUUAAAGCAAGCUAACGCUUGAAUACGUUAGCAUGGAAUAAUGAAAUAGGACGAUCGAUCCUAUUUUGUUGGUUUCUAGGAUUGACGUA